GAUUGCAGAUAAAACGAUACAGGCGAUUCCCUGCUCGUCUAUCUAUGUAUGGUGACCAACGUAGAAUGUAGAUUUGUAUGAUGAUGUUUCAAUUCAUUGAUGGAAGAGGAGAUUCUGACUACAAAGAUUUGGAGAAGAAUAAUGACAUACGCUGGCCAUCGGUUCAGUAUGACGUCAAAAUUAAUAGAAACAUUAUUUAUGGAGUUAUAAUUUGAUUGUUGAUAAAAACCGAUACAGACGAAUACUUGCCGUUCGCUGACCAAUGUGGUGUGUAGAGUCGUAUAAAGGUGUUUCAAUUCAUUGAUAGAAGAGGAGAUUCUGACUACAAAGAUUUAGAGAAGAUUAAUGAGAGGCAUAAAAACCGAUACAGGCGAUUUCCUGCUCGUCUAAAUAUGUAUGCUGACCAACGUAGAAUGUAGAUUUGUAAAACGGUGUUUCAAUUCAUUGAUGGAAGAGGAGAUUCUGACUACAAAGAUUUGGAGAAGAAUAAUGACAUACGUAAGUU